rnacentral:tRNA from 1 species
GCCCUGGUGGCACAGUGGUUAAGUGCUUGGCUGCUAACCAAAAGGUUGGUGGUUCAAACCCAUUCAAUAGCU